rnacentral:rRNA from 1 species
UACGUAGGGUGCAAGCGUUGUCCGGAAUUAUUGGGCGUAAAGAGCUCGUAGGCGGUUUGUCGCGUCUGCUGUGAAAACCCGAGGCUCAACCUCGGGCCUGCAGUGGGUACGGGCAGACUAGAGUGCGGUAGGGGAGAUUGGAAUUCCUGGUGUAGCGGUGGAAUGCGCAGAUAUCAGGAGGAACACCAAUGGCGAAGGCAGACCUCUGGGCCGUAACUGACGCUGAGGAGCGAAAGCAUGGGGAGCGAACAGG